rnacentral:lncRNA from 1 species
CCAUUUCCAUAUUUUGUCGUCUAGACAAUGGAAGAAAUUAAAGUCAUGGCCUCUGCAUACCAAGGUACACAAAAGCUCAUCCGUAGCCUAAACCUACCACCACACCUGUUAUCUCAAGAUAUCAGUCUGCUCCGUGGCCGUGCAGUCGUGUAUCCAACCAAGAAAAGCUGCCAAACCCUACUGAAUGUUCCGUAGGUUGGCACAUAUAUGCAUAUAAAGUAUAUAUGACACUACUACAGUCUACUUGGUUGGGUCUCUUAGCUUGAGGCAUGUAUUCAUGCAUGUUGGGUUGUUGGGACACAUACAGCGCUGCAGCGGCGUCCUGAGUCACCAUUGUUCAAACAGGAAGCAUAGGACGAAUGGAAUCGCCGUGCCCAGUGCCAGCAAUCAGGCAGCUAGCUUGUUCAAACCGGCAGGGUCCUACGACGUGCCAUUGUUUGCUUUUGUUUGGCAUGCAUCAAUGCAUGGCAUGGUCCAUGAACCCCGUCUUGCAAGUUCGAUUCGUCUCUGCUGGCCUGGCUAGCUAGCUCCCUGCAGACGACCACAUACAAUGCAAUCAUGGAUGAAGGAGAUCGAUAUCAUGGUCAGGGACAACCCGCGUCUAAGGGCUCGUUUGGUGCCGCUCCAUCCAGCUCUGGCUCCUGCACUGUGCGUGGUAGGAGCGUCAGAGGAGCUGAAGCUGGUGGAGCCAAAAUUUGUGGCUCCACC